rnacentral:rRNA from 1 species
GACGAACGCUGGCGGCGUGCUUAACACAUGCAAGUCGAACGAUGAACUUGGAGCUUGCUCUGGGGGAUUAGUGGCGAACGGGUGAGUAACACGUGAGUAACCUGCCCUGGACUCUGGGAUAACUUCGAGAAAUCGGAGCUAAUACCGGAUAGGACCUUGCACCGCAUGGGGUGGGGUGGAAAGUUUUUCGGUUUGGGAUGGACUCGCGGCCUAUCAGCUUGUUGGUGAGGUAAUGGCGCACCAAGGCGUCGACGGGGAGCCGGCCUGAGAGGGUGACCGGCCCCACUGGGACGAGGAGACGGCCCAGACUCCUACGGGAGGCAGCAGUGGGGAAGAUUGCACAAUGGGCGAAAGCCUGACGGAGUGACGCCGCGUGGGGGACGAAGGCCUUCGGGUCGUAAACCCCUGUCAGAGGGAAGAAGCGAAAGUGACGGUACCUGCAGAAAAAGCACCGGCUAACUACGUGCCAGCAGCCGCCGUAAUAC